GGGGAAUUUUCCGCAAUGGGCGAAAGCCUGACGGAGCAAUACCGCGUGAGGGAGGAAGGCUCUUGGGUCGUAAACCUCUUUUCUCAGGGAAGAACACAAUGACGGUACCUGAGGAAUAAGCAUCGGCUAACUCCGUGCCAGCAGCCGCGGUAAUACGGAGGAUGCAAGCGUUAUCCGGAAUGAUUGGGCGUAAAGCGUCCGCAGGUGGCGAUGUAAGUCUGCUGUUAAAGAGUGAGGCUCAACCUCAUAAGAGCAGUGGAAACUACAUAGCUAGAGUACGUUCGGGGCAGAGGGAAUUCCUGGUGUAGCGGUGAAAUGCGUAGAGAUCAGGAAGAACACCAGUGGCGAAGGCGCUCUGCUAGGCCGUAACUGACACUGAGGGACGAAAGCUAGGGGAGCGAAUGGGAUUAGAUACCCCAGUAGUCCUAGCCGUAAACGAUGGAUACUAAGCGUGGCUUGUAUCGACCCGAGCCGUGCCGUAGCUAACGCGUUAAGUAUCCCGCCUGGGGAGUACGCCGGCAACGGUGAAACUCAAAGGAAUUGACGGGGGCCCGCACAAGCGGUGGAGUAUGUGGUUUAAUUCGAUGCAACGCGAAGAACCUUACCAAGGCUUGACAUGUCGCGAAUCUUCUUGAAAAGGAAGAGUGCCUUCGGGAGCGCGAACACAGGUGGUGCAUGGCUGUCGUCAACUCGUGUCGUGAGAUGUUGGGUUAAGUCCCGCAACGAGCGCAACCCUCGUUUUUAGUUGCCAGCGUUAAGUUGGGCACUCUAAAGAGACUGCCGGUGACAAACCGGAGGAAGGUGGGGAUGACGUCAAGUCAGCAUGCCCCUUACGCCUUGGGCUACACACGUACUACAAUGCUCCGGACAGAGGGCAGCAAGCUAGCGAUGGCAAGCAAAUCCCGUAAACCGGAGCUCAGUUCAGAUCGCAGGCUGCAACUCGCCUGCGUGAAGGAGGAAUCGUUAGUAAUUGCAGGUCAGCAUACUGCAGUGAAUUCGUUCCCGGGCCUUGUACACACCGCCCGUCACACCAUGGAAGGUGGUAGUGCCCGAAGUCAUUACUCCAACCCUUAGGGGGGGAGGAUGCCUAAGGCAGGACUGGUGACUGGGGU
rnacentral:rRNA from 1 species